rnacentral:rRNA from 1 species
AGAGUUUGAUCCUGGCUCAGAACGAACGCUGGCGGCAGGCCUAACACAUGCAAGUCGAGCGAGCUCUUCGGAGCUAGCGGCGGACGGGUUAGUAACGCGUGGGAACGUGCCCUUCACUGCGGAAUAGCCACUGGAAACGGUGAGUAAUACCGCAUACGCCCUUCGGGGGAAAGAAUUUCGGUGAAAGAUCGGCCCGCGUUAGAUUAGGUAGUUGGUGGGGUAAUGGCCUACCAAGCCUACGAUCUAUAGCUGGUUUUAGAGGAUGAUCAGCAACACUGGGACUGAGACACGGCCCAGACUCCUACGGGAGGCAGCAGUGGGGAAUCUUGGACAAUGGGCGCAAGCCUGAUCCAGCCAUGCCGCGUGAGUGAUGAAGGCCUUAGGGUCGUAAAGCUCUUUCGCCAGGGAUGAUAAUGACAGUACCUGGUAAAGAAACCCCGGCUAACUCCGUGCCAGCAGCCGCGGUAAUACGGAGGGGGUUAGCGUUGUUCGGAAUUACUGGGCGUAAAGCGCGCGUAGGCGGAUUGGAAAGUUGGGGGUGAAAUCCCGGGGCUCAACCCCGGAACGGCCUCCAAAACUCCCAGUCUUGAGUUCGAGAGAGGUGAGUGGAAUUCCGAGUGUAGAGGUGAAAUUCGUAGAUAUUCGGAGGAACACCAGUGGCGAAGGCGGCUCACUGGCUCGAUACUGACGCUGAGGUGCGAAAGUGUGGGGAGCAAACAGGAUUAGAUACCCUGGUAGUCCACACCGUAAACGAUGAAUGCCAGUCGUCGGAUAGCAUGCUAUUCGGUGACACACCUAACGGAUUAAGCAUUCCGCCUGGGGAGUACGGUCGCAAGAUUAAAACUCAGAGGAAUUGACGGGGGCCCGCACGAGCGGUGGAGCAGGUGGUUUAAUUCGAAGCAACGCCGCAGAACUUUACCAACCCUUUGACAUCCCUGAUCGCGGGAAACCGGAAAACGGUUCCCUUUCAGGUUCGGCAGGACAGGGGGACAAGGGGCCGCAA